rnacentral:ncRNA from 1 species
ACAAAGGCUACGAUGGAGAAAAAAGUAUUCAAUUUAUUAAUCGCAGAGAGCCAACAUUAGGUGUAAGUUGGUAUUAAUAGGAAUAUGUAAUGAUCACUCUGGAGCUUCCAAGUUGAAAGACUUUUGGGUCAAUUAAACGAGGACGUUUACCAACGAUAUAUGGUUAAGGUUCAUAAUGAAUAAUAGUUGACUAUUCUUAUUAUUCAAAGUCGACCUGAUAAUGAGAGGCAAUUAGUAUAUCUAAUUGCAAAUAAGGUGGUACCACGGAAGUAUAUCUCCCGUCCUUAUA